ensembl:lncRNA
CCUUAUAGGCAGUUUGCUAAAGUUAAAAAAAAACCUCUGGGUUCAGACCACACUGUUUUAUCAGUUUGCAGUUUGUGGUUGUAGCUACAGUAUUUAUACCACUGUGCCAACCAUUUUGAGCUUGUUGGAACUAUGGGAAGUCUUUCAAGUUGCAACCGAAGAAAGAAUAAACCUGAAAACGCUGAUAAUGACCAUCAGAGAGAAACAGCAGACACAAAGACAGAAGAUGUCCUCUAUGCCUCCAUUGACCACAGUGACAUCAGUCCAAACAAACCUGUUCGAGACGUGGAUGACAACGAUUGUGAUUAUGCUGUUGUAAUGCUUCCUCAAAACAUAGACUCGGCCAAGCUAAAAAGCAACGAGGAUUGUUCAGAUGAUUAUGUACUCAUGGGCUGAGCACUGAGAUGCUCCUGUGGCUGAAAUUUGCACAUUCAGCUGGAAUGGACACCUAAGAUACAUAAGCACAACUUUAACAGCUUGUUAACUUUGUAUAGGUUGCAAUGAAAUUCAGCUUUUUAAAAUUUGUAUUUAUUUGUUUUAUUUUUCUUUUCUUCUCUUUUUGAAUAAUUAUUUCAUUUCUGGUCUGUUUUUGUUACUUUAUGUUUACAGCAUUAAGUUAAAUAUGUUAAAGACUUGAUAUUUUGAAGCAUAAUAAGUAAUUACAACCUUUACAUGCACAGUGAAUAAAAGUGCAAUUAUAUCUGUCUUCCUACAGUAUAUGUGUGUUUUAUAAAUGAUAAUAGUGAUUUGUAUAAUGAAACUCAAGAGAGAUUUACAUUUUUAUAGACUAAAACCCUAAAGAAUAAUAAUCAGUAGGUGACUGUAAAGUGUCAUUAAAGAAGAGUUACAUGUGUUUGAUAAGAGAAAUUACUAAUUUACAUUGUUGUAUAACAACUGUCUGCUUAAUGCAUAAAUGUAAAUGUAUAAAACAGAGAGAAAUUGUCAUUAUAUUUUACUCAAUUUAAAGAUGCAACUAGCCAGAAACAUACUUCGAUGAAACAGCACAGUAUUUAUGUGGGACCAGGGCUAGUUGUCACAUUUUCAGGAACACAUGUUAGGUAAAAAAUGUUAGCCUGAAUGCACUGUAAGUCGCUUUGGAUAAAAGCAUCUGCUAAAUGCAUAAAUGUAAAUGUAAAUGUACAUGUAAGUUACACAAGUGUUUUCUUUGGUUGUUUUGCAUGAAGGGUUUCCAUCACAUACUACAAAACCCUCUUAAAUUAUUAUUUUUAUAAUUAUUAUUUCUGUCCUCCAAACUAAAAUUCCAGUAUCCUCAUGUGUUAGGUAACAAGUGAAUAUAAUAAUACCACAUUCAUUCAGACAAGAGUCAGUUAUAUAAUGAUAUAUGAUGAAGGAAACGUGACAGUUGUCACAUUUUUGUUGGGGCAAGUAUUCGCAUACAUUUCAUAUUUUGUAAUAUUAUAAUAGUAAUGUAAUUUUAUUUGAGAUUCAUGAAUAAUUUGUGCAUAAUUUUUUCACUGUUUACAUUUCGAAAAACCUACACUAUUGUUUACUGGCAGAAUACACGGUCAACCUGCCCCACUGUUAAUAAUAAGUUUUAUGUGCCUUUUGCAAGCUUAAGGUCACUAUUUGGUCACCAUGUGUUCAGUGUACAUUUUUUCCUAGAUAAUAAUGAUAGACAUGUUUAAACAGCUUUUAUUAUUAUUAUUAUUAUUAUUUAUUGUUUUUAGUUUUUUUUUUUUUAUUUGUAUUUUUUGCAUGCUUUACAGACCUGUUAAAGGAAUACUUCACAUAAAAAUGUAAAUUUGCUGAAAAUGUACGCACCCUCAGACCACUCAAGAUGUAUAUGAGUUUGUUUCUUCUUCAAAUUUAGAAAAAUUUGUCAUUACAUUACUUGUUCACCAUUGGAUCCUCUGUAGUGAAUGGGUGCCGUCAGAAAGAGAGUCCAAACAGCUGAUAAAAACAUCACAAUUAUCCACAAGUAAUCCGCUCAAUUCCAGUCCAUCAGUUAACGUUGUGUGAAGUGAAAAGCUGCAUGUUUGUAAUAAACAAACACAUCAUUAAGAUGUUUUUAACCUUAAACUUUCACUUCUGGCUAAAAUACGAGUCCUCUAUUCAUAAUAUUAUUUUCUCCAGUGAAGAAGUCAUGUCUCCUGAAUCAGAAGAGAAAUAUGCACAGAUCAAGCACUGUUUACAAGCAAAAUAGUACAAAACAGUUGUAAAUAAUAUCUUGGUGGAUUUUUCAUGUUAUUAUGGAGGAUGGACUUGUUUUUAGAAACAUCUCGGUUACGUAUGUAACCUUGGUUCUCUGAAUAUGGAACGAGAUGCUGUGAUGGCAUCAUGGGGAACACCUCCAGUGUGACGAAUGUCUGAAGCCCUUAUACCAUCACACCAAUUCAUUGGCCAAUAGCGCUUAGCACUGCCCCGAGCAUGUGUCACGUAUGCUCAUAUAUGCGUGCUGCAUGCUAUUUCAUCAGAUAUUCCACAUGACGAAGUAAGCGCUAUCAAAGGUACAGAACGGCCAGAAUCGCAGCACCUCUUUUCCUAUUCAGGGAACCAAGGUUACAUACAUAACAGAGAUGUUUCCUUUCAGAGGUUCACUUCAAUGCUGCGAUGGCGUCAUCGCUAUGGGAAUGCAAUACAAUAAUGCCUGAAGUAUCUAAGAUAGCUGGAAGACCGAGGAAAGAGUCUGCUCAAGUGGAAGAGACCUGGGAGCCAAGAGCUAUCCUCACAUCCAGACAAGGAGAACUUGAUGAAAGUGCUAGGAGAGGACUAACCUGCCACAGCACAGACAUCUCCCAUCGAAGGCCCUUUAAAGAGAGCCUGAGAAGAAGCUAUUGCUCUCGUAGAAUGAGCACGUGCCUCUAGAGACAAAAUCACACCACACGCCUCAUAGGCUAGAGAUAUAGUGACUAUCUGACACCGCAUAGUAGGGGAGAAAGCCUCCAACCACUUGCUGAAAGUGAAACAGAGUCGAAGCAGCCUUAGGAUUAACUAAGCCUAGGCAGCAGUAAGACUUAACUUAAAGUCCAUACAAGAGGAGUUGAAAGAGCCUGCAGAUCCUCAGUCCUCUAAGAGAGGAUAGGAUUACCAAAAAACUGCUUAUGGUUCAAAGUUAUCUGACAGACUUAAACGGCUCAAAUUGAUGGCCUGCCAGGCCUUCCAGCCGAAAAAUAAUUCCCAAAAAGGAAUCUGUGCCAUCUCGUCCCUGCAUGAAACAGGAAACCAGAGGGUAACAUCUCACUGAAACACCUCUAUAAUGCUCCAAAUUAUGCUCUGAGCCAUAGUCAACAGGUCGUGUC